UUUUUUGAUAAUGCAGGAACCCGCAGCCAACCAUAUAGGUGCACUGGGUAAACCUACACUCUCGUAUAAUAGCUUGCAAACCAUACGAGAGAUUUAAACCACACUAGGCUAACCAUGUGUGACAAGCUCGACCUAGCGACCGUUGUCAAGGGGAUUCGAACUUGGGUCAAUUGACCCAAGCUCCCUUGCUUCCAACCGCUAG
rnacentral:lncRNA from 1 species